UACGUAGGUGGCAAGCGUUGUCCGGAUUUACUGGGCGUAAAGCGCACGUAGGCGGCUUCGCAAGUCGGAUGUGAAAUCCCUCGGCUCAACCGAGGACGUGCAUACGAAACUGCGGAGCUUGAGUGCUGAAGAGGAUCGCGGAAUUCCCGGUGUAGAGGUGAAAUUCGUAGAUAUCGGGAGGAACACCAGUGGCGAAGGCGGCGAUCUGGGCAGACACUGACGCUGAGGUGCGAAAGCGUGGGGAGCAAACAGG
rnacentral:rRNA from 1 species